CCUGUAGCAAUACAGGCAACCGGCGAACGGGUGCGUAACACGUGAGCAACCUACCGAACUGUGGGGGAUAGCCGGCCUAACGGCCGAGUAAUACCGCAUACGCUUUCGAUGAGGCAUUUCAUUGAAAGGAAACCUACGGGACAGAUCGAGGGGCUCGCGGCCUAUCAGCUAGUUGGCGAGGUAACGGCUCACCAAGGCUACGACGGGUAGCUGGUCUGAGAGGAUGGCCAGCCACAUUGGGACUGAGAUACGGCCCAGACUCCUACGGGAGGCAGCAGUGGGGAAUCUUGCGCAAUGGCCUAACGGCUGACGCAGCGACGCCGCGUGUGGGAUGAAGCUCUUCGGAGUGUAAACCACUGUUGCCCGGGACGAAUAGCUCGAUUAAUCGAGCCUGACGGUACCGGGUGAGGAAGCACCGGCUAACUCCGUGCCAGCAGCCGCGGUAAUACGGGGGGUGCGAGCGUUGUCCGGAAUCACUGGGCGUAAAGGGCGCGUAGGUGGUUUGAUAAGGGUGUGGUGAAAGUCCGGGGCUCAACCCCGGAUCUGCCGUGCCGACUGUCAAACUCGAGGACUGUAGAGGCAGGCGGAAUUCCGGGUGUAGCGGUGGAAUGCGUAGAGAUCCGGAGGAAGACCGGUGGCGAAGGCGGCCUGCUGGGCAGUUUCUGACACUGAUGCGCGACAGCGUGGGGAGCAAACAGGAUUAGAUACCCUGGUAGUCCACGCCGUAAACGAUGGGUACUAGGUGCCUGGGGGAGCGACCCUCUGGGUGCCGGCGCUAACGCAGGAAGUACCCCGCCUGGGGAGUACGACCGCAA
rnacentral:rRNA from 1 species